GAUGAACGCUGGCGGCGUGCCUAAUACAUGCAAGUCGAGCGAACGGACGAGAAGCUUGCUUCUCUGAUGUUAGCGGCGGACGGGUGAGUAACACGUGGAUAACCUACCUAUAAGACUGGGAUAACUUCGGGAAACCGGAGCUAAUACCGGAUAAUAUUUUGAACCGCAUGGUUCAAAAGUGAAAGACGGUCUUGCUGUCACUUAUAGAUGGAUCCGCGCUGCAUUAGCUAGUUGGUAAGGUAACGGCUUACCAAGGCAACGAUGCAUAGCCGACCUGAGAGGGUGAUCGGCCACACUGGAACUGAGACACGGUCCAGACUCCUACGGGAGGCAGCAGUAGGGAAUCUUCCGCAAUGGGCGAAAGCCUGACGGAGCAACGCCGCGUGAGUGAUGAAGGCCUUCGGAUCGUAAAACUCUGUUAUUAGGGAAGAACAUAUGUGUAAGUAACUGUGCACAUCUUGACGGUACCUAAUCAGAAAGCCACGGCUAACUACGU
rnacentral:rRNA from 1 species